rnacentral:rRNA from 1 species
UACGAAGGGGGCGAGCGUUGUCCGGAAUCACUGGGCGUAAAGGGCGCGUAGGUGGCCUGUGGAAGUCUGCGGUGAAAGCCCGGCGCUCAACGCCGGGUCGGCCGUGGAUACUCUCGGGCUCGAGCUUACUAGAGGCAGAUGGAAUUCCGGGUGUAGCGGUGGAAUGCGUAGAGAUCCGGAAGAACACCGGUGGCGAAGGCGGUCUGCUGGGGUAAUGCUGACACUGAUGCGCGACAGCGUGGGGAGCGAACAGG